GGGGGAAUUCCAGAGCGGUCAAAUGGGGCAGACUGUAAAUCUGUUGCUUCGGCUUCGGUGGUUCGAAUCCACCUUCCCCCA
rfam:Oscillibacter sp. CAG:155 genomic scaffold, scf156